rnacentral:rRNA from 1 species
GAUGAACGCUGGCGGCGUGCCUAACACAUGCAAGUCGAACGGAAAGGCCCAAGCUUGCUUGGGUACUCGAGUGGCGAACGGGUGAGUAACACGUGGGUGAUCUGCCCUGUACUGCGGGAUAACCCUUGGAAACUGGGGCUAAUACCGCAUAUGACCACUUCAUCGUUGUUGUGGUUGAAAGUUUUUUCGUUCUGGGCUGGGCGGGCGGCCUAUCAGCUUGUUGGUGGGGUAUUGGCGUACCACGGCGUCGACGGGCAGCCGUGCUGCGAGGGUGUACGGCAAAAUUGGGACUGAGAUACGGGCCAGGCUCCUACGGGAGGGAGCAGUGGGGAGUAUUGCACAAUGGGCGGAAGUGUGAUGCAGCGACGCCGCGUGGAGGAUGGCGGUCUUCGGGUUGUAAGCUCCUUUCGCGAAAGACGAAUUUAGGACGGUAUUUGGAGAAGAAGCACCGGCUAACUACGUG